rnacentral:lncRNA from 1 species
CACAGCUGUAGGGACCAGGCAGGCACAGUGGCAGUGACAGAGCCGUGGUGCUGGUGGCCCCAGGGAGCAGUGAGUUGUGGAGAAUGGGGAGGGAGCUCCAGUGCAGCACUCCCAGCGUGGUGGAAGCUCUGCAGCGCGUUCAGAAUGACGUCCUUUACGAGCAUCAAACAGCAGCCUGGGAAUGUGUGACUUGGGCGUGAUACAUCAGCGCUCAGAAGGUGCACCCCCACCGAGAUCACACGCAGGAUGAGGAGCCUUCCCAACCCAAAUCCCAGUGUCAGUCCUAGCCUCAGUCCCAGUCCCAAUCCCAGUUUCAGAGCCACCAGGAUCUACGAAGAUUCCGGUCUCUCUCCAUGCCAUCUUAGCUGUGGCACUUCCAGUGACGAAUUCAUCGCUCAGGCAAUGGCUUUUCUCCUAAAAUCCUCUUCAGGGAACAAUUUUCCAACGUCGGAUACGG